CCUGUUUCUGCUGCUCAAGCAUCCUCCAAUGUAUGCAUUUCUUCUAAGAAGACCAACUUCCUCUUUCUUCACAAUAAAGGCCAUAACAGACACUUGCGAUUGUACUAACUACUUAAAAAUACUUUUCUGUGGGAGACAAUAAAAAGCAAAUUCUUUCAUCGCAUCUCCCUCUUCCUGGUCUAACUUCCUCCUUCUUCCAGAGACACCUCCCAAGAGGAAUCCCCUGGGCUCCGAGAACUUCCGGAAGCACAUUCACCAGCCUGAGGCUGCGGGGCGGGAGGGUCACACAGCUUAGCCUGCCUCACAAACACUCUCACUUCCCACUUCCUCUGGUUCUGUCACCUCCCUGAGCUUGGGAAUGAGACAUUUAAAUCACCACAGCCCACUCAGAGAUGCUGCAGCUGCCAAUUAGACCUCUUCUCGGGAUUUGUGUUUAGGAAAGGGCCCCAGUUGUUUGGCUCUCUCCAGAAAAUGACUUAUGAAGAUGCCUUUGGAUCAUGUGACUCCUGGUUAAAAAAAUAAACAGCCCAAUUGUUGACACCUGACCUGCAACUGAGACAGAAGCCUUUACCACAUGGGGUGAGAUACAGAUUUCUCAAGAAAUGUCACUUGCUUUGUUUUUCUUAGCCUGGAAAGCCAAUUUGCAUGUUUUGUAUAAAGCUGAAUCUGAACCGGUGAGCCCUGUGGUAUCAAUAAUCUGAACUGUUCAAAAGUUGCUUUUUUUGCAGAGCAAGAAUAAAUGACAAGGGCUUUGGAAAUGAGAGGGUUCAGAGCCAUUCUGUAUCCUGUGCUGUCCUUGGCUGCUGGAUUGCUGACCUGGGGCUUUUACCUGGUGGUCUGAUGAGUCAUGACAUUCAUAAAAAGAGAAGAUAGCAGAGAUACUUGGAAGCUUCCUCCAGUCUGCUCCUUGGGUCUUCUGCUUACCAACUGUGCAACGCUGGGCAACAUGAGACUCCGUGCCUCAGACUGCUAAGACUCAAAAUGAGGGCGAAAGGCUGCUCUGCUCACCUCAGAAGUUUGUCUCAAUUUUCUAUAACAGAAAAUGUGUGCUAGCAUAGAUUUGGCCUAAUUAUAGCAUUUCCAUAAAUAAGUGAGGAGAGAGGAGAAAUGAUGGUUCUGAGGCCAUCUGUCAUGAAUUGACUAAUGUAACCCUUGAGAACCUAGAAUUAUACUUGGACUCAUCAUUGAGGCAGUCACUCUGUGCUUUCAAAUGAAAAAUUAAAACCAUAGAAUAAGAGAGAAGGCUUCCCUUAUCAAAACCCGGAAGCUAUUUGACCCAACUAGUCCAACUCAGAAGCACAAUUACGUAGUCAAUUAUAGUUUGUGUGUGAGGCUUAAAGUGACUUCUGUGAGUGCUUUGUCAGAGUGCGUAUCAGAGUACUAGGUUACUUAACAUUUUAAAUAAAAUGAAUGGUACAGGGGCCGG
rnacentral:lncRNA from 1 species